AGUGAACGCUGGCGGUAGGCCUAACACAUGCAAGUCGAACGGCAGCACAGUAAGAGCUUGCUCUUACGGGUGGCGAGUGGCGGACGGGUGAGGAAUACAUCGGAAUCUACUUUUUCGUGGGGGUUAACGUAGGGAAACUUACGCUAAUACCGCAUACGCCCUACGGGUGAAAGCAGGGGAUCUUCGGACCUUGCGCGAUUGAAUGAGCCGAUGUCGGACUAGCUAGUUGGCGGGGUAAAGGCCCACCAAGGCGACGAUCCGUAGCUGGUCUGAGAGGAUGGUCGGCCACACUGGAACUGAGACACGGUCCAGACUCCUACGGGAGGCAGCAGUGGGGAAUAUUGGGCAAAGGGCGCAAGCCUGAUCCAGCCAUACCGCGUGGGUGAAGAAGGCCUUCGGGUUGUAAAGCCCUUUUGUUGGGAAAGAAAAGCAGCAGGUUAAUACCCCGCUGUUCUGACGGUACCCAAAGAAUAAGCACCGGCUAACUUCGUG
rnacentral:rRNA from 1 species